rnacentral:lncRNA from 1 species
AGUGCAUAAUCAGCUCAUAUAUAUGUAUAUAUAACAAUAAAUGGACUUCUCAGAAAAUUUUCUUCACAACAUGAAUAUUGGUGAAUAUAAGUAACUGAAAUAUAAACUUUAAAUCAAUCUUGUCCAAUAUAUUUUGAGAUACUAUCUAUCCUAUAUUACAUCAAAAAACUGAAAUUUAUCCAGUACUAAUGAUGUGAUAAUAGGCAAGAUGGUUUAGAAUUUUGGAAACUGACUACAGUAUUACCAUACCAUGCUAAGGUGGCAAAUUACUUGGCAAUAGGAGAGUGACACUGAAAUAUUCCAAUGCAUUACAUUAAAUUGACUCAUGACACAAAAAUAUACCUGCUCAGUAAUCCAAAAUCCAGGAAUGCCAAAAGACUCGAGCAGAUCAGAA